GGAGGUGUGGCUCAGUGGUUGAGCACCUGCCUAGGAAGCAUGAGACUUUGAGUUCAAACUUCAGUACCACCA
rnacentral:tRNA from 1 species